rnacentral:rRNA from 1 species
UACGGGGGGAGCAAGCGUUGUUCGGAUUUACUGGGCGUAAAGGGCGCGUAGGCGGUCAGCACAAGUCAGUUGUGAAAUCUCCGGGCUUAACUCGGAAAGGUCAACUGAUACUGUGCGACUAGAGUGCGGAAGGUGCAACUGGAAUUCUCGGUGUAGCGGUGAAAUGCGUAGAUAUCGAGAGGAACACCUGCGGCGAAGGCGGGUUGCUGGGCCGACACUGACGCUGAUGCGCGAAAGCCAGGGGAGCGAACGGG